AGGGAUUUGAAAGGGAAUCAGCUGACCAGGUCAAUCCCUGAUGAGAUCGGCAACUGCGUCUUGCUGAAAUCUUUGGAUUUAUCCAGUAACUUGCUAUAUGGAGAUAUUCCGUUCUCCACAUCUAGGCUCAAAUAGCUUGAGGAAUUGACAUUGAAGAACAAUCAGUUAACAGGGCCUAUCCCUUCAACCCUUUCACAGAUGCCAAAUCUCAAAACUCUGUAGGGGAUCUUGCUCAGAAUCAGCUCCCUGGUGACAUUCCAAGGUUGAUUUACUGGAAUGAAGUAUUGCAGUAUCUGUGAGUACUUCCUCCACUCUGUGUACUCCAUGUAAAUCACAAUUUAUAAGUCUAUCUCAAAUUAGUUCUAGUUCAUCUAGUAAUUUGGUAUGUUUUGGAGUCGCCCAUUAUUGUGACCACACUAUGGGUUGUGUUAUGUAAUGUGAUGGCCACUUUGAUUCUUCUUAUGUAAGAUGGACAUUGACUGUUAUGACUUCUAACAUUCCUUUUGGUG